rnacentral:lncRNA from 1 species
UCUGGAAAAGCUUGAAGUCUUGGAGGCAUAAAUUGCAGUAGUAAAGUUGUAAGUGGUAUUAGUGAAUAUAAUAGUAACUCUGUAUUGUAGUAGAGAAGUGGGCGGAGCUUCUGGUCAUGGUGAACAUAAGGCUUGUGUUGUGUACAGUAGUAAAGUUGUAAGUGGUAUUAGUGAAUAUAUUAAAGCAUUAAUUUGAAGUGAGAAUGAUCUGUAUUUGUGUUUUUUGAACGUGUUUGUGGCUUCAGAAGAGAAGAUAUGUAGGUGCAGUGCAGCAGACCAGAGCACUGGACCAUGGAGCCUGCAGUAGGUCCUCUAUCUGAUAUGGAUCCCCACGAUCCAGCAUCCAUCAGUGGGCCGUCAGCAUCCCCACCUCUACUCAAUAACAGCCUGCUGGGGGGACUGUCUCAAGGUGGUGGUCUGGAGAAGGGUGAUGUAGAAGGGGAUUCUGGGCUUCCAAGAAGCCUCCUUUCCAGAAUCGAACCCUAUGGGAACAGUCAGAGAAAACCUCGAUCCUCAGCCUUCCCUUCAUCUCUUACUUGGGACUCAGACUCGGAGAAAGAGACAUUUGAUGAAGAGGAGCUUCAGCACUUUUCUAAUCCUCAUGGCCUAGCUGCCCACAGUCCAGGAAGUCCCACCUGUGGACAGGAGCAAGAUGGAAUUGACUGUGGAGUUUACCAAACACCUGAGGCGCCCAAGGACCUGCUCUUUAAGAAGGACUUGGCCAGUCCUCUGGAGAGGAGAGAUCAAGUGGAAAAUGACAAAGUCGGAAGUGCGUCCAACCAAGCUGGGUCACUUUUCUCAGACACAAAACCAAAGGAGGGAUACCAAAAACAAGAAGACGAAAGGAAAGAGGAGAAGAAGAAGCUACCCGAACGAGACGUCUACACUUUUCCAGGUGACUCGGACCCGGAGAGUCCACCUCCAGGGCCGUGGGCACACUGCACCUUCAUCCAGCGCCGGAGAAAGAAGAGAGCUUUACUGAGACCUUUCUCUGGACUGAACACCUGGCAACGCACAACUGGGGCGAACAGGAAAACCAGGUUAAUCCCGGCCAGGACGAAGAGUCGGGCGAAGGUGGUGAACGAUGAAGGAGGGGUGUUCGAUUUCAAGGAGGAGGAAGAUGAGGACGAGGACAAAGUCCAAGAGGCGGAGAUUGGACAAGGACAACGGGGAGAUCUGUGCCAGGAUAUUUUUACUUGUGUAGAAUGUAGCAUUUACUUUAAAAGACGAGCACAUCUGCGGGAACACAUGCGAGAGCAUGUCCCAGAUGGCAGGAGAAAGGGACAGGGUGGUGAGGAGGGCGUUAGGAGGAGGCGAGCCAAAAAAACUGGCUUUGAGUGCAUGGAGUGUGGUCAGGAAUUCUCAGACAGGCUGGUGUUGGUGGAUCAUCACAGGCGGCAUCAAGAGGCACGGCGCAAAAUCCUGGAAGAGAUUGGAAAGCUGAACGAGGGAGGGACGGGGACGGAAGAGCAGGCCAAUCGCAGGAAGCCAAGGCGUCUAGCCGCCCAAGAACCUUCCACCACCCCCGUCUGCGGACAGUUUGUCUGUCUCAAGUGCAACUACAGCUCUGAUGUACCUCAAGAACUUGCAGACCACGCUAAGACUCAUACAACUCGAGCAAAGGCUGGUUCUCCAAGAGCCGGUUCUCCAAGAGCCGGUUCUCCAAGAGCCGGUUCUCCAAGAGCCGCUUCCCCAAAAGCAGCUUCCCCAAAAGCAGCUUCCCCUAAAGCAGCUUCCCCUAAAGCAGCUUUACCUAAAGCAGCUUCCCCAAAAGCAGCUUCCCCAAGAGUCGCUUCUCCGAGAGAUGCUUCCCGUUCCCAGCCAAGAUCCCACAAAAAAGGACAGACACGAUCUUCUGGAACUGGUACCUCAAACCCUGCCAACACACUUCCUACAGAGAGGUAUCCAACGAGAGCCUCGGUCCACGCUGUGGAAAAACAGCCUCAACAGCCUGAAGAGCCUCAAGUUGACCCCUCUCAGGCCAGUGCCAGUGACCGUCCUCCCAUAAACGAGGGUGACUCCAUUGCAGGGUCCAUCCAGGAUCGCACCGACUCUGCAACUCCAGAAGAACCAGCCACAAAACCAGAACCAGGGCCAGAACCAGAUCCAGAGCCACAACUGGAGUUAGCAAGUGCUGAUCCUGAUACUGAUGCUGCUGCUCCCCCAGAGGGUCCAUCACUAAAGGAGGAAUCUCCUGCAGAAGGGUCAACUAAAGCCGGUUCAGUAGAGGAGACCGUCCCAAAGCCCCAGUCUCCUGUAACAGUACCUUCAAAUCCAGCAUCUUCAAAUCCAGCUCCCUCAAAUUCAGCACCUUCAAAUACAAGAGCUGCACCACGCCGCAGGGAAGUAGCGUACAAGAGUACAGGGAAACGGCGCUCGAAGCGGGUUGUGAGGGACGCGAUGGGCAGGACCCGAGCAAGUAGCAGACUGGAGUCGAAGCAUACUGAGAGUAACGAUGCUGAGAACCCAAUCCAAAACACUGAGCAGACAGUAGAGCAGGACCAAAAAGAGGCUGCACCACUACCAGAGCCAGAGGCUGAUCCACAGUUGGCUAAAGAAAUGGGUAAGUUGUCAUUGUUUUGAUAGUUUAAGAACUUCGCUUCAUGUCCUGUCGUCAUCAGUUACAAG